CCUAUACUUUGAGGCGAUUUUGGUUUUAGUCCCUCUUUCAAACUAAAUUGUACUUUAAUUUGAAAGAGAGACUAAAACCAAAAUCGUCUUAAAGUAUAGGGAC
rnacentral:pre_miRNA from 2 species